rnacentral:lncRNA from 1 species
UUGCUCAUAGAAAUUGAUAAUAUACUAUUUUAUAUUCACUCGUUCAAGUGCUGAUCUAUUUUUAAAUUGAAUAUUUAUGUAAGUAUUAUGUAUAACACAAUAUAAAUAAUUUAAGGACAUAAGAAGUUAAAAUUUCAAGUGCCAAUAUUGAUUAUUUUUCCAGUUUUAUUCAAAUAUAUUGAAAUUAAUAUGGAAACAAAAGUUCAUAAAUAUUAUUCUUAAUAACAAGAAUUGAGAUUUGGGCAUAAGUUUGAAAAGCCAUGUCAGAAGAGUAGGAUUAAAGACAAAGUAUUAAGAGUAAUUGGGCUGUUCCUGAACAAUAUUGAAUAUAAAUAUUCAAAAAUAUGAUAAACUGCAUAUCCUACUAAGUAGAUCAAUACCAAAAUUCCAUUAGAGAAAUAAGUUAAAAUUAUGUUUUACUUGUAUAAUUUUCUUGCUAUUUGUCCACCAUUAUUUGUGACUUAGAAAUUAAAUAGUCAAAAAGAAUUUAGUACCAGUUUUUAUUUCCCAAAAAAAAUAAUUGUUAAAUAAUUACAUAUUGCUUAAGAUACAGUAUAUUAUAUUGUGUUUAUAGUUGAUAAUUCUAGUUCUUAGUUGUUUAUAGUUGAUAAUUAACAAUAUUUCUGAUGUUAGAUAUUAUAUUAGAUAAAAAAUUUAAUUACCAACAGCUACCUACCUAUGUAGCUGCAGAUUAUUAUAUUGUGUAGUAGGUACUGUAUAAUUCUUUAGUUCAAGAAACAAAUAUCAGUACAAGUAUAUAACCAAAAAAUGUUGAUGCAAAUUCUUUGUAUAACAUACGUACCCCUAUGGUAUUCAACUUUUCAUUGUUCUUUUAAUUAGAUACACAAUAAGCACAUUAAUUCGUUUAUUAAACAACCAAAACUAACUACUUAAAUUC